rnacentral:lncRNA from 13 species
AGUCUGUGGUCAGACCGCUGCUUCCCGGGAAGCACGAGCCAAGACCAGAGACCGCGGCCAGCUGGGGCUUCGGAACAGGAGAGCGGGCGACUGUGGGGGUCGACGGCAGGUGGAGCUGGAGCUAAAAAGGGGUCUAGGGGUAAGGUCAGGCUCAGGGUUGGGGACACCUUCCGGGGAACCCCGGGCGGAUCUGGCUGCAGGGGAGGAGAGUACAGGGCUCUGUCCCGGCGGGUGUGGAGACACCUGGGGCAGAGGAGGGUGUGUCAGGGCGCGUCCCAAGAGGACCUGGAGGCAGAAAGUGGAACCCAAGGUAGCCGGGCAAAAGCCGGGUCGCCAAGUCGCGUCCGAGAAGUGGUCGGAAGGUGCAGGGCGGAGCCAGAGCCCCUCGAGGGACGGGUGCUGGGACAGGUGCAAACAGGCAGGCAGAGAGCCCUGCGGGAGGAUCCCGAAGAGAGGUGGAAGAGGCGCCGGAGCGGUCCCGCCGACGCCACCGCGGAAGAGAAACCGAAAGUGGAGCUGGGGGCGGGGCCGGUAGGGGGCGGGGCCUCCCGCCUUCGCUGGUCCCGCCUCCGCGCGGGUUUAAAAGGCAAGCGCAGGGGCGGGCGCCGAGCAGAGCGAGCUGCGGCCGUGGCAGCUGCACGGCUCCAGACCCCGGAGCAUGCGCGAGAGCAGGCCCGGAGCCCCCCGGAGCCCCCCGCCGCCCCGCCCGCGGCGCCCCGCGCACCGCCCCCAGGUGAGCCGGUCCCUGGGCGUGGAGGCGUGAGGGAGGAGGGAGGGGAGUCCAGGGCAGCGGGGAGUCCGGCGGGCCUCAGGGGCUGCAGGUGGGGUCGCGGCCGCCACGCCCCAGGCCCCCAGCGGCCCCACCCAGGCCGCCCCCCGCCCGCGAGUCUCCAGCAACACAGCCUUUCUUCGGCGCUAGCCGAAAUCGCCCGGACCGGGCGCCGAUCCCGGCCUGGCCAGCAGGCGGCGAGCGCGGGGCGGCGAGCGGUGGCCCUGACGGCUGUAGCCGGAGCCGGCUGCUCUCCACGCCCCCCUCUCGGUUCUGCCCGGAGGCCCGACUCCGCCUCCACCGAACCCCCUCCCGCCGGGAAGAGCUCCGCGGAAUGCAGAACCCGUUUUCUAGCUGUGCCCACUGAGGUUGAACGGAGCCGCGCGGACUUGGUGCUCCAUGCUUGCCCCCUAGGGCCGGGUCCGCCGGGAGGGCCGCCCUCCGGAGUUGCCGCGCGGGCACUCACCUGCCCGGCUCCGCAGCGCCCCGGCUCACCGCCUUCUCUCCCCCGCAGCGCACCCCCGGACGCUAUGGCCCACCCCUCCGGCUGGCUCCUCCUGUAG